CAAAAAAAUCAGUUUAAAAAAAAAAAAAGAAAAAAAAGAAAAGAAAAAGCAGCGCCCCUCAGACCCAACUACCAAAUCUCAUGGCUUUCUGCCACUCCGGCUGUCAAUCACAGGCGAGGUUGUCAACGUGGUGAAUGAAUGAUCAUCCGCUCUGUCUUCUUCUGGUCAGAACACCUCAAAUGUUAAUAUUCAAAUGCACAAAGCCCUAGCGCUCGCUCCCCUUGAAUCAGUCCUAAUUCCUAAUCAGUUUCUCUCUUCUCUCGCUCGCUCGCUCUUUCUCUUUCUCUCUCUCUCUCUCCCUCUUUGCAACUGCUGCACUGGAGGGAGAUUAGAGGAGGAGGGUUAAAAAAAAAAUGUCUGUCUGAGUUUGUCUUAAAGGAGCCACAAUCGAUGCUGCCCGCUUGCAGUCCCCGUGCGUGUGUAAAGUGUGUGUUGCACAGGCGGAGAGGUGGAUUCCGACCAGAAUGCUAGAACCCGGAAGUAGUGGUGGCCAUAACAGGUCGCGUCUUACACAAUGCAUUGGGCUGCAGCAAGUAGGCUCCCCGGCAGGGGUGGGUGCGCGAAGCGAGCUCUGGCCGCACUGGAGAGGCAGAGAGGCGCUCCAUUAAAUCGCACGCCCAGGCACAAACACCCACACACCCAGGGCACACGCGCACAGACGCGGCCAGCAGAUCCCGGCCACCGGUCUUAUUUUCCGUAUUCUUUUCUCUCCCUCCCCCUCCAGACUCUCUCCCCAAAGCCGAUGCUUGAAAUAAACUGGGAAUAAAUGCGGGGCAGGCAGUGGCGGGAGUUAUUUUGCACGGGGCUCCGCGCAUUGACUUCAUGACUUUCCUCGAAAUGAUUGGGGUCUGCCAGUGUUUUUUUCAGGGCGGAAGGGGGUGAUGAGGAAAGUACCGGGUUCUCAGAACUAAAGACUCCCAAGUCGAAAAGUCAAGAGGGGAGCGGGGAGGAGGAGCGGGAGCAAGGCUGGGAAAGGCUCUGCUAAGGAGUCCCGUGAACGUGGGGUGGGGAUGGCUGGGGCUGUCUGCUGAUCCAGCUUAAGAGUUUUUUGCUGUCAGAGGUAGACACUCGGUCCAAGGAGAGGAAAUGCUUGCAUUUUCUCACUUUGGGGGUCUGGACGCCCCCACCUCCUAGCCCUGGAGACCUCCCCAACCCCGGAGUCCUGCACGAAGUGCGAGAGGAAGGGAGGGAACAAUGAGCUCAGAGCCGGGAAUGUGCCCCCAGCGCCUGUUUACAAACACCAAGCUAUUUACGAUCGCCGGAAAGCGAAACCCGACGCGGGCUCGGAGCAGCCCCGACCUCGCGGGCGGAGCCGGGCCCAGGCGCCGCGGGGAGGGAGGCUCUUUCUCCGAUCCUCUCCGGGCGGAGCAGCGGUGCGCCCAGGGCGCGGCGCAGCAGGGCCGGCGCGUUCGGCUGGGACUACAGCCGCUCCGCCUUUGUCUUCGAGGCGCCGAAGGGCUCUGGCUGAUGCCGUGCUCGGGCCUGAAGGGACCCGGCGCCGUCAGCUUUUCCCCGGCGACGCCUCGCGCUCUCCUCAGCCCCUUCUCCUCCCCAUCUCGCCCCCCACUCCGCUUUCCUGUCUCCAACCCGGCUCGGGGAAAACUCCCAGCGCCGAAGACAUCCACAUCAAAAGCUGAGCCGGCCCGACUCUGAUUUGCCGAAAUGGCUCAAGCCUCAGCAGCUCAACCCGCGGGCUAGAAACCUCACAUUUCCAAGCUGGGCUCGCAGCUCGCUCGGCUCGGGGCAAGAUCUUCUCCCCCUCCCUCCAGCUGAAACCUCGCAGAAAACUCCCCCUGCGGUCGACUGGAAAAUGAACUCACCCAAAUCUCGGGUCUUGUACUUUUCUCCACCGCCAACAUGUAUACAGUUUUCUGGCACAAACGCCCCGCCACAGGCACAUCACGCGGGAGGUGAAGGCAGGCCCGCGUGUCAAAGCCAAGGGGAUCCAGAAAUGAAAAAAGAAAGUUCAGAUACAACACUGGCUGGCUGGCUGUUUAAAAGAAACAACAUAGCCAAACACACUCCAAAUCAAACAGCCUUGGUGGAUUGUUCAGCAUUUGAAGGCUUGAUCUUUUGUGCCGUCUACUGGACAAUGGAAAAACUACAGUCUCUACAAUUUAAACUUUUCUCUUGUCCAGUGUUGGGGGUGGGGAGUGGGUAGGAAGGGGGAUGUGACUUGCUACUGGUAAAUAAUAAGAGAGGAAACGAGACCUAAUUUAGACUCAGAGUACAGAUCUUGUGACUUCAAAUCUUCAAAUCCAAGUUUAGGAUUAACUAUAGGCAUGCCUCAACCACUUGAUUAAGGCACAAGGCUAAAACCUACAUUUUACACAACUCUGUGUGUGUGUGUGUGUGUGUGUGUGUGUGUGUGUGUGUGUCUUGGCUUGGAAAGAGAAAGAAAGAUGGUGGGACAAGCUUAGCAUCUCUGAAAAAAAUAUUGGUGGUUACUUGGCUCUGAGUGAGAAUUGGCUUGACAGCCAAGUUACAUGUAUUUAUUGCCUAGGUAAUCCAGGAUGUACAGGUUAAUUCUUGGAAUUUGGAACAUGAUAUUGUUCAAUAAUCCAGAAGAGUACUUUCAUGAGGGGAGAAAUGAAAUUGGUAAUUAGAACAAUGUUAGUGCAGUUACUUUUUGGCAAUCUUGGAUAAAAACGUGAAACUUCACUGUUUUCACUUGGAGACCACAUGUGGGAAAAAGUGAGGGUGAAAGUCACAGUCAGAUGCUUUUAUGUAGCAGAGGCUGUUUGAUGUUCUCUUAAACAUGUAAAAACAUUGUAUACAUUUUGGUUACGAUUUCAAAAAUAUUUAUAGAGCUCUAGUAUUAUGGAAGCUUCAUACAAAAAAUGCAUGGAGCUAACUUUGACCUCUGACAUUGACAUAGUUUCUGAAUAACCAUAAUUACCAUAUAGACGUGAUUUUGUGUAGGAAAAAUAUAAACAAAGCCCAAUGCCAAUGAAAUACAGAGAAGUCAAGCUGGUUUUGGUGGAAGAGACAUAGACUUGGGUACAAGGCUCUUAAAACAGUCCAUCUGCUUUUCUGAAGUUAAAAUUCCCUAUUGAAUUUUAAUAUAACCUAGUAGUACACGACUAGUUGAUAGGGUGCCUUUAAAUAAUAAUCCAAUAGUGAAAAGGAGUCAGCUUUAGGGCAUUUUCUUGCUGCAUAAAUAUAUUUCAAUGAUCUACUUCAAAUGAUGUGGCAGUGUGUCAGAAUGACGUUAACAUAUUGUAUUAAAUAUAGAUAUAGCAGAGAAUUGGGGACUCCUUAAAGCAUUGCUUAUGUUGCAGAGUAAAAAUAAAUAAAUAAAACAGGAUGCUUUCCGUUGUGCUGCAGUGUGGCGGAGGGGGUGGUGGGAGUGGCGGACCAUGUCUCCUUAACUUUAGCAUAACCAACUGGACUGUGAAAGGUUAUUUUAUGAGAUGCUGUUUGGAUCCCUUGGUCCAGAAUAAAGCAGCCACAACAGGGCUCUCCUAAGGAUCGCUAGAAAAUGUAGAAAAUUCUUACGGGAACCAAUUACCAGUACUCACACGCCUGAUACAUUCUAAGCUGGACGGUGGAAGUACUGAGGGCUGGAGAAGGUUCUCUGGUCACCAAGUGCAAACAUUUAUCUUUGAAGCAACAGGAUGGGCCAGACUGGUCAUGAUAAACAUUCAUGUUCCACUGGAUAAAGGGGCAUAUUUUGUGAAAACCUUCAGGCAAAAAAAAAAAAAAUCGUACUGAUUGUUCAAAAAUAAGUAUCUUAACAUUUCAUUGAGCUCUCUAAUGAAUGAGAACAUCCUAGGCCUCCUGCAGCUCAGAAAGCAUCCUGGUAGCCUGGGACCCAGGGAAGGAACAGACCAGGAGCUGAAGGAGCCUGCUGAGUCGCUAUUCACUUGGGGAUAUCUGAAAACAUAGUGUCCCAUGCCCUUAUUUAAAAAGGAAAAAUAAAUAUCAUAUUUCCAUGUCUUUUUCAAACAA